GACGAACGCUGGCGGCGUGCUUAACACAUGCAAGUCGAACGGAAAGGCCUGCUUUCCCUUGUGGAUUGCGGGUACUCGAGUGGCGAACGGGUGAGUAACACGUGAGUGAUCUGCCCCCAACUUGGGUAUAAGCCUGGGAAACUGGGUCUAAUUCCCGAUAGGACUGCAGGGUGGUGCCUGUGGUGGAAAACGAUUUUCUAGUGGUUGGGGAUGAGCUCGCGGCCUAUCAGCUUGUUGGUGGGGUAAUGGUCUACCAAGGCGGCGACGGGUAGCCGGCCUGGGAGGGUGGACGGCCACAUUGGGACUGAGAUACGGCCCAGACUCCUACGGGAGGCAGCAGUGGGGAAUAUUGCACAAUGGGCGGAAGCCUGAUGCAGCGACGCCGCGUGGGGGAUGACGGCCUCCGGGUUGUAAACUCCUUUCGACCGCGAGGAAGCCACCUGGUUGGAAGGGUGGUGACGGUAGUGGUAGAAGAAGCACCGGCUAACUACGUG
rnacentral:rRNA from 1 species